GAGAAAUAAUACAAACAUAGUAUAAAACUUAUGAUAAAUGUAUUAUUACUCUUUUAAUUAUUAACAGGUCAGACGGUUAAUGUAGUACUACGGUCUAGUGAUAUUCCUUUUCACAUGUAAGUGAGAGGUCUUGGGUUCGAUUCUCGCUAAAAGUAAAUUUGAACCACAUUAUUGCUAGCCCAUUGUGAGGCUUAACUCAGUCCUUACGCCCUUACUGUAGCUAUUAUCGUUUGUUCCAAAAAAAAAAAAACAAAAAACGUAACCUAUAUCAACUAUAUGAUAUUGAGAAGCCAAAAAUAUAAAAAUAGUUAUUUGCUUUGAAUGCUCUAUUUAAUUGUUAGCAAACAUGGUGCUCUUUUUUGUGGAUAUUUGUAGCGGUUUGGACGAUGGUAUCAAGUUUUGGACUCCUUCUAGGUGAACGGUGAAAAGCCUAAUCAACUUAACCCCUCCCUUCGAUGAUCCAGAUAGAAAUCAAGGUGUUGUGGUUGGUGAAUGCUGGAAAGAUAGGCUUGAAUAUAGACAAUGGGGUGCACAUUUACCCCAUGUUGCCGGAAAACGAUGGUCGGUGGACAUGGAUGAAGCCAGCACCCGCCUGCAAAAAGCCUAUUCCAGCAUUCUUUCCUAAAGCUCUAAGGAGGACAAGGAAAGCAGUGAUGAAAAAACAAAAAAUUUUCCUCUGCUCUGCUUAUUUCGGUCUUAUUCUAAGUCAUGCUAUUGUAUUCCUGUUGUAUAUGUUAUUAAACCUCUGUGGUUACACCAUCUAAAUGUAACGUUUCAAUGUCAUCAGAAUCAUUUGUUUCAUGA